UCCCGUGAUGGCAUGAAAUCUUUGAGACCUGAGUAAUUACUUGAUGAAAAAUCUCAAGCAUGAUUCCUGAGGGC